CAAUAGCGUAUAUUAAAGUUGUUGCAGUUAAAAAGCUCGUAGUUGAAUUUCUGUCAGGAGUGACCGGGCCUUUGGAUGAACUUCCAUUGUUUUUUGCUCUGUUUGUCAUCUCUAGACAUCCUGAAAUAUUUUUUAAAAAUAUUUCUCUUUUACUGUUAGCAAAAUAGAGUGUUCCAAGCAAAGCGUAGUUUUGAAUACAUUAGAAUGGAAUAAUAAGAUAGGACUUUGGUGCUAUUUUGUUGGUUUGCACACCAAGGUAAUGAUUAAUAGGGACAGUUGGGGGUAUUCGUAUUUAAUUGUCAGAGGUGAAAUUCUUGGAUUUAUGAAAGACGAACUACUGCGAAAGCAUUUACCAAGGAUGUUUUCAUUGA
rnacentral:rRNA from 1 species